rnacentral:tRNA from 1 species
GGAGGCUUAGCUCAGCUGGUGAGAGCGCCUGCUUCACACGCAGGAGGUCACUGGUUCAAGUCCAGCAGUCUCCACCA